CCUACGGGGAGGCAGCAGUGGGGAAUAUUGCACAAUGGGGGAAACCCUGAUGCAGCCAUGCCGCGUGUGUGAAGAAGGCCUUCGGGUUGUAAAGCACUUUCAGUAGGGAGGAAGGUAGUGUAGUUAACACCUGCAUUAUUUGACGUUACCUACAGAAGAAGCACCGGCUAACUCCGUGCCAGCAGCCGCGGUAAUACGGAGGGUGCGAGCGUUAAUCGGAAUUACUGGGCGUAAAGCGCAUGCAGGCGGCCUGUUAAGUCAGAUGUGAAAGCCCGGGGCUUAACCUCGGAAUUGCAUUUGAAACUAGGCAGGCUAGAGUCUUGUAGAGGGGGGUAGGAAUUUCAGGUGUAGCGGUGAAAUAGCGUAGAGAUCUGAAGGAAUACCAGUGGCGAAGGCGGCCCCCUCGGACAAAGACUGACGCUCAGAUGCGAAAGCGUGGGGAGCAAACAGGAUUAGAUACCCUGGUAG
rnacentral:rRNA from 1 species